rnacentral:rRNA from 1 species
GUCGAGCGGACAGAAGGGAGCUUGCUCCCGGAUGUUAGCGGCGGACGGGUGAGUAACACGUGGGUAACCUGCCUGUAAGACUGGGAUAACUCCGGGAAACCGGAGCUAAUACCGGAUAGUUCCUUGAACCGCAUGGUUCAAGGAUGAAAGACGGUUUCGGCUGUCACUUACAGAUGGACCCGCGGCGCAUUAGCUAGUUGGUGAGGUAACGGCUCACCAAGGCGACGAUGCGUAGCCGACCUGAGAGGGUGAUCGGCCACACUGGGACUGAGACACGGCCCAGACUCCUACGGGAGGCAGCAGUAGGGAAUCUUCCGCAAUGGACGAAAGUCUGACGGAGCAACGCCGCGUGAGUGAUGAAGGUUUUCGGAUCGUAAAGCUCUGUUGUUAGGGAAGAACAAGUGCAAGAGUAACUGCUUGCACCUUGACGGUACCUAACCAGAAAGCCACGGCUAACUACGUGCCAGCAG